CGGUCAUUGACUUAAGAGUCGCGGCAGCUCCUUCUCCUCGACUCCCCGGGCGUGAGGGAGAGGAAGCGCUGGGCGGGCGGCGGGACUCGGCCUCGGUGCAGAUAUAAGGAGAAGUCAGCAGUCUACAAAUCAAAAAACUUUCCUUACCAGAACUCAACCAUACUGGCACCCUGCUCUUGAACUUCCAGUCUCCAGAACUUUUAUGAAGCACUGCUGUAUACAUCAUGCUACUGAAUGAAGACCUGAAUGCCUCAGACACUUGUAGCACCAAGCUUCAUGAUCUUUAAGGUCUUGGAUCAACUGGUAUUGUGAAAAGAAAAUAAGCUGGUAACCUCCCUCUCACCGAGGUAGUGAAGACGCCACUGUCUGCUCCACAGGGUGGCGGGGGGUGACGCCCGGACCUCGCUUCACACAGGAGGCCCUCUGUAUCUGUGGGUUCUAUAUCCUUGGUUACAGAAGGCCGACUGUACCACACCAUUUAAUACAAGGGACUUGAGCACCCGUAGAGUUCGAUAUCCUUUGGGGGUCCUGGAACAAAUCCCCCAAGGAUCCCCAGAGAUGACUGUAUGCCACCUAUCAGAAGUGUGAAGACUUCACCUGAGCAACGAACAACCCUCUUUGCUGUAAGACGUUGAGAUUUGGGGCACCUUUUUUUUUUUACUGUGCAUUACCGAGCCAAGAAGCCCUCAAACUCUUUGGUCUCUGAACAUCUCUGAACAUCUCUACACUCUUGAAAACUAUUAAGGACCUGUAUUGACUAUGUUUCCUUACUUUUGUCUUCUUAAAGCUCUGGCACCUGGGACCUUGCUAGCACAGGGGACACUGCUCCUUUGAGGACUAGCUAAUUCCUAGAGAUAACAAGCUCCUCCCUUGUGAAUAUACCUCUCAUGUGCAAGCUAACCAAUCCAAAACCAUACCCCCUCUGCCCCCAUAAGCACCCCCUUUUUCCAGCUCUCACAGGGCUCUUAUACUCUGGGCCAGUACAGCGAUAUGUUGUUUUACUGCACUUCACAGAUACUGCAUUGUUUACAAAUUGAAGGCUUGUGACAAACCUGCGUUGAGCAAGUCUAUUGGUGCCGUUUUUCCAGCAGCAUUAGUUUUUAAUUAAGCUUGAGACCAAAGAGUUGCUGUGAGGGAACAUGGAACUGAGGUUGCCUGCAGUUGCAUAGAGGGACCAAACGUAUGGCUGGAUGCCGAGAAACAGUUAGAAUGCUCCUGUGAAGAGAGUGGCUGGCGGAUAGUGGGUCAUUAAUCACCAGAGGUUGAGCCCAUGCCCCCUCUUCAGGCCACUAUCGACGAGGCCUGUGAGGGUCAAACAGUGUGCCUUUCAGAUGCGUGAAGACCCUAGGAACCAAGGCGUGAUGGAUGUGUCUGGUGGAGAAGAGACCAUUACAAGCCACUUGUUGUUUAAGAACUCUCUCCUGUCCCAUUUGCCACCAAAAGUUAUUUCCUCUGUGUUGGUGGGAGUCAUAAAUGCGUCUACUUGGAAUCACAUACGGGAAGUUCCAGAACAUUCACGCAGCUUUUCAGGUCUUCACCCCCACCGUCAGUUUACACCAGCUGCUUCUCAUCACCUAGCCCUGGGGUCCUUCCCAUCAAGUUCGGUCCAACAGAGAAGCCAGCACCCAAAGGAAGUCCAUGCACACACUGAGCAGUGGACAAAAGCCCAGACUUGAAGAGAGUGGUAUUUUCUCCAGAGACACCGGAUAGGAAUAUAACUUGAAUGUCCCACAUGUGGUCCACUCAUCCACGCUGGCUUUGAACCACACUCAUUCCACGCUGAGCUCUCGUUUCCUAAAGCGCAUUCUAUGGUCUUCCAGUGCAGACAUAUGGCACGCACUUCUGGCUGUUCUACAGAGCCUUCUGGUCCAGGGCUGACUGAAUAUGUCUGUAGGCUAGAGGUCUGACAUGGGCUCCACUGAGCUAAAAUCAAAGUGUCGGCAGGGACGCGUUCCUCUCUGGAGGCUCUAGGGGAGAAUCUGUUCCCUCGCCUUUUCUAGCUUCCAGAGGCCGCCCACGUUCUUUGGCUUGUGGCUCCUUCCCGAACCUGCAGUAACUUUCUUCCUGUAUAUGCUGGAGUAUCCAAGUACAGACAGAUCAACCUGGGGACGAGACGAAAGAGAGGUCACAGAUACACAUCUCCAAAUUCCCACCUCUCACCAGCGGAGGGCGAGUAUUCUUCUGCCGCUCAUGAGAUGAUGAUGUAUUUGCUGACCCACACAUGAACCAGGGAGGGGGCACAGAGCUGGGGAACGAACGUCCGCUGCGUGGAGGGCAGGGGACAAGCAGAGAAACGUCUCCGGGGAGUAGCGUGAAGAAAUCACAGGGAAAGCUGCCUGGAAAAAAAAAAACUAAUAAAAGGAAUGCU